rnacentral:rRNA from 1 species
UUGACCUCAAAUCAGGUAGGACUACCCGCUGAACUUAAGCAUAUCAAUAAGCGGAGGAAAAGAAACUAACAAGGAUUCCCCUAGUAACUGCGAGUGAAGCGGGAAAAGCUCAAAUUUGAAAUCUGGCAGCUUUUUGGCUGUCCGAGUUGUAAUCUAGAGAAGUGUUACCUGUGCUGAACCGUGUACAAGUCUCCUGGAAUGGAGCAUCAUAGAGGGUGAGAAUCCCGUCUUUGACAUGGACUAUCUGUACGUUAUGGUGCGCUCUCAAAGAGUCGAGUUGUUUGGGAAUGCAGCUCAAAAUGGGUGGUAAAUGCCAUCUAAAGCUAAAUAUUGGCGAGAGACCGAUAGCGAACAAGUACCGUGAGGGAAAGAUGAAAAGAACUUUGGAAAGAGAGUUAAACAGUACGUGAAAUUGCUGAAAGGGAAACGCUUGAAGUCAGUCGCGUUGACUAGAAAUCAGCCUUGCUCUUGCUUGGUGUACUUUCUUGUUGAUGGGUCAGCAUCAAUUUUGACCAUUGGAUAAAGUCUCUGGGAAUGUGGCAUCUUAGGAUGUGUUAUAGCCCAGGGUCGCAUACGGUGGUUGGGAUUGAGGAACUCAGCACGCCGCAAGGCCGGGUUUCGACCACGUUCGUGCUUAGGAUGCUGGCAUAAUGGCUUUAAUCGACCCGUC